CUUUGAUGGAUGGCGACCGGCGCACGGGUGAGUAACACGUAUCCAACCUGCCGACAACACUGGGAUAGCCUUUCGAAAGAAAGAUUAAUACCGGAUGGCAUAGUCUUCCCGCAUGGGAUGACUAUUAAAGAAUUUCGGUUGUCGAUGGGGAUGCGUUCCAUUAGGCAGUUGGCGGGGUAACGGCCCACCAAACCAACGAUGGAUAGGGGUUCUGAGAGGAAGGUCCCCCACAUUGGAACUGAGACACGGUCCAAACUCCUACGGGAGGCAGCAGUGAGGAAUAUCGGUCAAUGGACGAGAGUCUGAACCAGCCAAGUAGCGUGAAGGAUGACUGCCCUAUGGGUUGUAAACUUCUUUUAUACGGGAAUAAAGUGAGCCACGUGUGGCUUUUUGUAUGUACCGUAUGAAUAAGGAUCGGCUAACUCCGUGCCAGCAGCCGCGGUAAUACGGAGGAUCCGAGCGUUAUCCGGAUUUAUUGGGUUUAAAGGGAGCGUAGGCGGGUUGUUAAGUCAGUUGUGAAAGUUUGCGGCUCAACCGUAAAAUUGCAGUUGAUACUGGCGACCUUGAGUGCAACAGAGGUAGGCGGAAUUCGUGGUGUAGCGGUGAAAUGCUUAGAUAUCACGAAGAACUCCGAUUGCGAAGGCAGCUUACUGGAUUGUAACUGACGCUGAUGCUCGAAAGUGUGGGUAUCAAACAGGAUUAGAUACCCUGGUAGUCCACACAGUAAACGAUGAAUACUCGCUGUUGGCGAUAUACGGUCAGCGGCCAAGCGAAAGCAUUAAGUAUUCCACCUGGGGAGUACGCC
rnacentral:rRNA from 1 species